GACGGUUAAGGCGUUAAUUCCGCUAAACCGUACAUGUCUGUUGCGGAUUCUAGUGUUAGGGGUGUUUUUGUCAAUUAAUAAAAAGUUAGGAGCGUUGUUUAUUAUUUUUAUUUCUAUUAAUCAUUAUUUUCUGGGUUCUCCACGUGGGAAGUAGAGAGAGAAAAAAAAAAAGGAAAAGAAGAAAGAGUCGUUAAUAUGUUAGCGGCAGGCGAUUGGUGAGUCAGCGAGUCAGUUUGUUUUCGUUGUCAGGUUAAACAACGUCGUUUUAGGGAUUGGAAUCUGAUUUCCAUAGGGGAAUAGAUGUGAACGUUUUGCAGCCGAUUUUAUUGAAACUGAAAUCUUUUUUCCUCCUGAGUUGAGUUUAGUUCCUCAAGAAAAACUAAUGCCGUUCACAUCCAACAACCGACCAUUUUAUUUGUUUUGGGUUGAUGUCAUUUAAUUAUAUAUCUCAGGUUGAAUAGUAUCUAUUGAAAUGGUCAUGUUCCAUUAUAUCAGUGAGAGGUUAGACAGCGGUUGUCUAUUUUCAAGGAGUGGAAGGAUGUAUUCACAAGGAGAUCUUUCCAGGCGAUUUCUUGUUUUGGCGAGCUCUUAGCUCGCUUGAGUAAUGGAAUCUGUGACAUGAUCCAAUGCACAGCAAAUCUGGGAGAUUGAUGCUGACUAUGAUGGAAACUCCAAAAUAUUUCUCCAACAGAAAUAGAAGGCAAAAUCUCCACAAUUUUCAACAAGGGAUUUUGUAUAAAAAUUUCCUCUUUGUCCAUAAGCUUGAACACUACAUGUGACAGCCUGCUAUCAGGUCAUUUAUCUUUGAUUAUCAUAUAUUUAUUUUACUAUUUCCAUUUGGAAAUGGUGUCACAUUAUUCAACCUUAACA